CACCUCUGACCGUACCGUCGUUUGUGCAAGAUUAAGGAGCCACUGGACUAGAACAACCCAAUCCAAAUCCAAAUCCAUCCAGACAAAGAGAAAGAGAAAUCAAACUACACAGUGAAUUCAACAUCACAGCAUCUUCCAUCAGGGAUCAGCUCGAGACAUGGCCCUUGGCGAAUCAAUUCCACUAGACACUCAUGCCAAGGAAGGUGGAAGGUGAUCUGACUACAAUGGACUCAAAUGCCA